rnacentral:rRNA from 1 species
GAUUCGUCACACUAUCAUUAACUGAAUCCAUAGGUUAAUGAGGCGAACCGGGGGAACUGAAACAUCUAAGUACCCCGAGGAAAAGAAAUCAACCGAGAUUCCCCCAGUAGCGGCGAGCGAACGGGGAGGAGCCCAGAGCCUGAAUCAGCAUGUGUGUUAGUGGAAGCGUCUGGAAAGGCGCGCGAUACAGGGUGACAGCCCCGUACACAAAAGCGCAUGUGCUGUGAGCUCGAUGAGUAGGGCGGGACACGUGGUAUCCUGUCUGAAUAUGGGGGGACCAUCCUCCAAGGCUAAAUACUCCUGACUGACCGAUAGUGAACCAGUACCGUGAGGGAAAGGCGAAAAGAACCCCGGCGAGGGGAGUGAAAAAGAACCUGAAACCGUGUACGUACAAGCAGUGGGAGCCCCACCACCAAAGCAUUCUCUGGUGUUGAAGGCCCUGCAAAGCAGCAUCGCGGUGGCGGAGCGUCGUUUGCGACGCCCAACACACAAAACAAGCGGUGAGUGCUUUGGGGUGG